rnacentral:rRNA from 1 species
CGAAUGCUGACAUAAGUAACGAUAAAGCGGGUGAAAAGCCCGCUCGCCGGAAGACCAAGGGUUCCUGUCCAACGUUAAUCGGGGCAGGGUGAGUCGACCCCUAAGGCGAGGCCGAAAGGCGUAGUCGAUGGGAAACAGGUUAAUAUUCCUGUACUUGGUGUUACUGCGAAGGGGGGACGGAGAAGGCUAUGUUGGCCGGGCGACGGUUGUCCCGGUUUAAGCGUGUAGGCUGGUUUUCCAGGCAAAUCCGGAAAAUCAAGGCUGAGGCGUGAUGACGAGGCACUACGGUGCUGAAGCAACAAAUGCCCUGCUUCCAGGAAAAGCCUCUAAGCAUCAGGUAACAUCAAAUCGUACCCCAAACCGACACAGGUGGUCAGGUAGAGAAUACCAAGGCGCUUGAGAGAACUCGGGUGAAGGAACUAGGCAAAAUGGUGCCGUAACUUCGGGAGAAGGCACGCUGAUAUGUAGGUGAAGUCCCUCGCGGAUGGAGCUGAAAUCAGUCGAAGAUACCAGCUGGCUGCAACUGUUUAUUAAAAACACAGCACUGUGCAAACACGAAAGUGGACGUAUACGGUGUGACGCCUGCCCGGUGCCGGAAGGUUAAUUGAUGGGGUCAGCGCAAGCGAAGCUCUUGAUCGAAGCCCCGGUAAACGGCGGCCGUAACUAUAACGGUCCUAAGGUAGCGAAAUUCCUUGUCGGGUAAGUUCCGACCUGCACGAAUGGCGUAAUGAUGGCCAGGCUGUCUCCACCCGAGACUCAGUGAAAUUGAACUCGCUGUGAAGAUGCAGUGUACCCGCGGCAAGACGGAAAGACCCCGUGAACCUUUACUAUAGCUUGACACUGAACAUUGAGCCUUGAUGUGUAGGAUAGGUGGGAGGCUUUGAAGUGUGGACGCCAGUCUGCAUGGAGCCGACCUUGAAAUACCACCCUUUAAUGUUUGAUGUUCUAACGUGGACCCGUGAUCCGGGUUGCGGACAGUGUCUGGUGGGUAGUUUGACUGGGGCGGUCUCCUCCUAAAGAGUAACGGAGGAGCACGAAGGUUGGCUAAUCCUGGUCGGACAUCAGGAGGUUAGUGCAAUGGCAUAAGCCAGCUUGACUGCGAGCGUGACGGCGCGAGCAGGUGCGAAAGCAGGUCAUAGUGAUCCGGUGGUUCUGAAUGGAAGGGCCAUCGCUCAACGGAUAAAAGGUACUCCGGGGAUAACAGGCUGAUACCGCCCAAGAGUUCAUAUCGACGGCGGUGUUUGGCACCUCGAUGUCGGCUCAUCACAUCCUGGGGCUGAAGUAGGUCCCAAGGGUAUGGCUGUUCGCCAUUUAAAGUGGUACGCGAGCUGGGUUUAGAACGUCGUGAGACAGUUCGGUCCCUAUCUGCCGUGGGCGCUGGAGAACUGAGGGGGGCUGCUCCUAGUACGAGAGGACCGGAGUGGACGCAUCACUGGUGUUCGGGUUGUCAUGCCAAUGGCACUGCCCGGUAGCUAAAUGCGGAAGAGAUAAGUGCUGAAAGCAUCUAAGCACGAAACUUGCCCCGAGAUGAGUUCUCCCUGACCCUUUAAGGGUCCUGAAGGAACGUUGAAGACGACGACGUUGAUAGGCCGGGUGUGUAAGCGCAGCGAUGCGUUGAGCUAACCGGUACUAAUGAACCGUGAGGCUUAACCUUACAACG